rnacentral:rRNA from 1 species
ACGAACGCUGGCGGCGUGCUUAACACAUGCAAGUCGAACGAGGUCCACCGCGUAGCAAUACAAGGGAAGACCUAGUGGCGAACGGGUGCGUAACACGUGAGGAACUUGUCCCGGUCUCUGGGAUAACAGUUGGAAACGACUGCUAAUACCGGAUGACGUCGGAAUCUCGCAUGGGAUACUGACGAAAGGGUUGCUGGAUCGGGAGAGCCUCGCGGCCUAUCAGCUUGUUGGUGGGGUAACGGCCCACCAAGGCAUCGACGGGUAGCUGGUCUGAGAGGAUGAUCAGCCACACUGGGACUGAGACACGGCCCAGACUCCUACGGGAGGCAGCAGUGGGGAAUCUUGCGCAAUGGGCGAAAGCCUGACGCAGCAACGCCGCGUGCGGGAAGAAGGCCCUCGGGUUGUAAACCGCUUUCAGCAGGAACGAAAAUGACGGUACUUGCAGAAGAAGGUGCGGCCAACUACGU